GGCUUCUUCACCAGCACAUACACUAAUGUUGGAGCAAUACAGAAAAGACUAGCAUGGCCACUGUGCAAGAAUGGCUCAAUACAUGUAUGAAAUCUCUUGACUGAAU